rnacentral:tRNA from 1 species
GUGUCCAGGGAUGGGAAUCGAACCCACAGUGUUCUGCUUACCGGGCAGAUGCCAUGUCCACUAGUAUAUUA